rnacentral:rRNA from 1 species
GGACCCGCACAAGUAGUGGAGCAUGUGGUUUAAUUCGAAGAUACGCGCAGAACCUUACCAACACUUGACAUGUUCGUCGCGACUCUAAGAGAUUAGAGUUUUCGGUUCGGCCGGACGAAACACAGGUGCUGCAUGGCUGUCGUCAGCUCGUGUCGUGAGAUGUUGGGUUAAGUCCCGCAACGAGCGCAACCCUCACUUUUAGUUGCCAUCAUUAAGUUGGGCACUCUGAAAGAACUGCCAGUGAUAAGCUGGAGGAAGGUGGGGAUGACGUCAAGUCCUCAUGGCCCUUACGUGUUGGGCUACACACGUGCUACAAUGGUAUCUACAACAGGAAGCGAAACUGCGAGGUUGAGCAAAUCCCUAAAAGAUACCUCAGUUCGGAUUGCACUCUGCAACUCGAGUGCAUG